GUUAGCCUAGAUUUCAGUAGAAUGAAAAAAUGAAAAUUGCUAUUUAUUGUAUUUAUAUAAACUGGAGUACGCGUCAUCCCUGUGCAAUAGAAGCGACAAAGUUGUUUUGGACCACAAGAAUAGCUUGGAUGACAACAGUCGUUAUGGCGGUACAUUCUUACAGUGAAACGAUACUGGCUGGACAGUUCUAUUGGCCGAACGAUCUAAUAGACCAGUACCGGAUCUGACUUACGCAUUGGACACCUCAAACAUGGUGAUUGCGCUCUGGCGAGGUGCUUUAACCGAAAUCGACAAUAGUUCGCAUAAUACCAACGUUCACAGGUUGGGAUGCAAAUCAACAUUACGCUGAUAACGCUACUGCACUGCUCAUCUCUUAGAUGGUCUGUAUCCGGAACUACUGCAAUUGAAUAGUGGUAGCGUAAUGCGACUAAUGGGUAUCCAUUAACUAAAAGUUAUAAUCGAUUUUUUUCCUAUCUUUCCUAAUUGGAUAACAAGUUACAUCGAGGGCCCAGAUAUUUAGCAACGGGAGAUUCGCAGAAAACCAUAUCAUUUAGCUACAGGGUAGGUGCUAGUACCGUCCACCAGAUUGUCCACGAGACAUGCCGAGUGAUUACAGAGAAGAUGAUGGAUGAGGCAAUGCCGAAACCCACGAAAGAGAUGUGGAAGACAAUUGUUAAAGAUUUCUACACGAUGUGGAAUUUCCCACUGUGUCUGGGCGCAUUAGACGGAAAGCAUAUUACGAUUCGGGCUCCAGCGAAGAGUGGUUCUUUAUUUAAUUUAAUUUAAUUUAUUAUACAUAUCUUCGGCUGACUGCCGUUCAGACGUUAAAAAAUAAAACCUUAAUGCUAUACAUUGAUUAUACCUAACUUAAAACUCUUUUUAGACACAUUAAAAUCAAAAACACCAAUUGUUUCGUUAAACUUUACACAACACAUGUCGAUUGGGUUACUCUGUCCAUAUGCAGUUCUAUGCCGGGGGAUCCAAAGAAGAGGCGGGUUCCGAAAUCGGCGUUGCGGAGCAUAAAAGUUUACUUUCUGGAGUAGAUCAGGGCAAUCGAUGUUUCCAGUGAUAACGUCAAAUACUAAAAGCCUCUGUAGUAAAACCCGUCGCUGUUCAAGAGUCUGCAUGUUCAACAGCUUGCAUCGGUCGGAGUAUGGAGGCAAACGUACUGGGUCGCGCCAUUGCAGAUUUCUAAGAGCAAAUCGUAUGAAACGUUUUUGCACUCGCUCGAUUCGAUCACGUUGAGUUGCGUUGUGUGGCGCCCAAACUUGGACAGCAUAUUCCAGGGUACUGCGUAUCAGAGAGCAGUACAAUGUUUUGAGUACGUACGGGUCACUGAAAUCUGAAGCGUUUCUUCGCAAGAAACCAAGACUCGCAAAAGCUUUGGCAGCUACUGUGGAAAUAUGGUCGCUGAAUUUCAGUUUGCAGUCAAAUAAAACGCCUAGGUCUUUAAUUGACAACACCCUUUCUAGGCUACAGCCAUCUACUUUAUAGUCGAAACGAGAAAUUAAGCGGCAUCGACUAAAGCUAAUCACUUUGCACUUGUUUAUGUUCAAAUCCAUUCCGUUGAGUUUACACCAAUCUUGAACUAAGUCGAUGUCAGCUUGAAGAACUACGUAGUCUAGAGGAGAUUUUAUUUUUCGGAAAAUCUUCAGGUCGUCGGCAUAUAACAGCUUUUCAGACUGGAUUCGUUCGCAGAGGUCGUUUAUGAAUAAGAUGAAAAUAAGAGGCCCGAGAUGACUGCCUUGCGGGACCCCAGACGGUAAUUCGAAAACAGUCGAGGUAAGGUUUGCAAAUUUCACAUAAGCUGAUCUAUUGUCUAGGUAGGACUUCAGCCAAUUAGUUAGCCAGAAGGGAAAGCCAAGCCUUUCCAGCUUAUCGAUGGCAAUAUUAUGUGGAACUUUAUCGAAAGCUUUUGAAAAGUCAAAAUACACCGCGUCUACUUGGUGUCGUUCUUCCACAGCAGGGAACAAGACACUGGUGUAAACCAAUAGGUUUGAAAGAGUCGAGCGUUUCUUGACAAAGCCAUGCUGGAAAUCAGAGAUGACAGGUUUAGCGGCAGCAUACAUUUUUUCAUAUACAAGUUUCUCCAAAACUUUCGCUACGCAGCAGAGAAUAGAAAUAGGUCUGUAGUUUUCCACACGCUGUGCGCUUCCCGUUUUGUGAAUGGGGGUUAUCGCUGCAGUUUUCCAUGCACGAGGAAACCGGCCUUCGGUAAGAGACCGAUUGAAAAUAAUGGAGAGGGGAGCCACAAGAGAAUCUGCACAUCCUUUGAUUAGUUUCGGAGGUAAACGAUCGGGGCCGGCGCCCUUAGCGGGAUCAACAUUACUCAGUGCUGUACGUAUAUCGUGCUCAAGUAGAGGUGAGUUCGAUAUUUCAAUAUUAUA